CAAACAUUCAUUGUCUGAAAGCCAAGACUUUUCUUCUUUGAUCAAUAAAAUUCAUCUCAUGCAAUACUAGUACACACAAAGUUUUCCCAGGAAGCAGAUUAAAGAAUAGUGAGCAAGUUAGCUAUCUUCAGCACACAAAGUUUUACGAGAAUGGUAGACUUAUUAUUACAAGUUCUUCUAUGGAGUUUCUAUCUCCUCUCUCUUGUUCUACACCUUUUUGAAGACCUGAAAAAAUUAGCCUUUUCCAUAGCUCUAACUCUCAACUCUUCUCCUUCAGCAUCUCCUUUGUCACGGUAUCUCUCUUGGGUUGGGUCUCUUUUUGCGACAAUUCAGAGCAUUUACCAUCACACCCAAGGCCAGAUCAGGUCGAAUGUAAAAAGGCGGGUUUUUGAGCAGCAUGGUGAAGAAAACUAUGAAGCAAAGAAUUUGGCACAUACCAUAAGCUGCCAAGACAGUAACAGUAAGAUGAAAGAAAAGAAUGAAGAUAAAAAAGGUAUGCAUGGAAUACUGCAUAGUGCACAAAAGAAGUCUGGUCUUUCGGGUAAUAGAGGGAGUGCUAUCAAUAGUAAGUUGCGAGUGAGGCCUGCGAAGCUGUUUGUGCCCGAUUUUUGUCCAAGGCAGGAGUUCAUUGAAAUGGGACUAAAGAAGUUGAAAGAGGACAAAAAGGAAUUUGAGGUGGAAGGGAGGGAUUUCUGCUUGGCAAGUAAGAAAGGCGCUAGAAGGGAGUUCAUGGAAGAUGGGCACAGAGAAAUGGUUGAUAUAAUGGGAGAUCCCAAGCAGGCAUUUUUUGCUGUGAUCGAUGGGCACGGAGGUUGUGCAGCUGCUGAUUAUGUAGCUGAAAAUUUAGGGAAGAACAUUAUGAAAGAGCUUGAACAUGUUGGAGAGGAUCAAGAACAUGAAUUGCAGCAGGCUAUUCGCCAAGGCUACUCAGUCACAGACAAGGGCUUCCUUAGUCAGGGUGUGAGCAGUGGAGCAUGUGCAGCCAGUGUGGUGUUGAAGGAUGGAGUGCUACAUGUAGCAAAUUUAGGAGAUUGCAGAGUAGUUUUGAGUAACAAAGGAGUAGCACAUGUAUUAACAAAAGACCACCGUUUGAGUAGUGAAGAUGAGCGUCUCCGAAUCGAAAACACCGGUGGCUUUGUGCAACAUUGCCGCAACGGAGUUUGGAGACUUCAAGGCUCACUUGCAGUUUCUAGAGCAAUUGGGGAUCAACAUUUGAAAGAUUGGGUCAUUUCCGAACCAGAAACUAAAACGAUUCCUCUAACUUCAGAUUGCGAGUUCUUGCUAAUGGCUUCGGAUGGCUUGUGGGACAAGGUAGAUAAUCAAGAGGCAGUGAAUGUGGUUUUAAAAGAGAAGGACUCACUGAAGUCUUGCAAGAAGCUUGUGAAUAUGUCUUCAAGCAGAGGGAGCAUGGAUGACAUAACUGUUAUGGUGAUCAACCUUCGAAGCUUUUUGGCAGCUGAUCAUCUUCAGUGAAUGACCACACUCAGUGAGGUGUAUAUGGGGGAGGAUAGAAGAACAGCAGAUUUCAAAUUGCAUUGCAGAAGGACGUCGGUUUUCCCUUGCAUAGAUACGAUAAAAUCCACCUUAAGGGAUGAAUUCUUCUCAAUUCUUAUCCAUUAAUUAACGAUUUGAGGAUGUGUUACGGUGCUUAGCGCUUCGAAACUCAAAUUUCUUUGCAACCGAGUUGGCGUGUAAACUGUCUCUUUUGAGCGUGUGCGCAGGCAUGCCAGCACCGUGGGGUGCAAUCGUCGGGGGAGUCCCUUGACCUGACUUCUUCUUCAAGCGUUGUGGACGAGGAGAGCACCAACCUCACCAUAAAGGUUCUUCUCUAGCCUUCCGAGAAAGGACUUUAUGCCUUACGAAUAAGGAUUUUGGAUGUGAUCUCUUCGCGUCACUGAAUCGAUACUCAACGCUGUGGGCUGAGCAGAGUAAUCACUGGGAAGUUUGGAGAAAGCACGGGUUUUGCUAAAACGUGACUUUAGUUUCACUGGGUUGCGAGGGCGUUACCCUUGCUUCGCUGGUAGUAUCGGUGGCAGUAGCACUGGCAGUCAGCUCUCGGAGAGACUAGGACUGGAAGUAAGGUCGCCGGGUUGAACUAGUGACGCUGACAAUCGGCUCUUGGAGAGACUAGGACUGGCGCGCGGUCACCGGGUUUCAACAAGGUUGAAGGUUUGCUCUAGGGAGGCUUUGUAAUCGCUGGGAUUGAUUGAUUCGAGAGAGAGAGGUCAUUUUCUUUGCCCCUUAGCCCUGUAUUUAUACACCUAGGGUUUCAACUGUUCCUUGCUUUAAAAGGAUUAUUAAUUGAAGUUUCAUAUUCAAUUUCUGCUA